GACGAACGCUGGCGGCGUGCUUAACACAUGCAAGUCGAACGGAAAGGCCCUGCUUUUGUGGGGUGCUCGAGUGGCGAACGGGUGAGUAACACGUGAGGAACCUGCCCUUGACUUUGGGAUAACUUCAGGAAACUGGGGCUAAUACCGGAUAGGAGCUCCUGCUGCAUGGGGGGGGUUGGAAAGUUUCGGCGGUUGGGGAUGGACUCGCGGCUUAUCAGCUUGAUGGGGGGGUAGUGGCUUACCAAGGCUUUGACGGGUAGCCGGCCUGAGAGGGUGACCGGCCACCUUGGGACUGCGGUACGGCCCAGACUCCUACGGGAGGCAGCGGUGGGGAAUAUUGCACAAUGGGCGGAAGCCUGAUGCAGCAACGCCGCGUGCGGGAUGACGGCCUUCGGGUUGUAAACCGCUUUCGCCUGUGCCGAAGCGUGAGUGACGGUAAUGGGUAAAGAAGCACCGGCUAACUACGUG
rnacentral:rRNA from 1 species